GACGAACGCUGGCGGCGUGCUUAACACAUGCAAGUCGAACGGAAAGGCCCUGCUUUUGUGGGUUGCUCGAGUGGCGAACGGGUGAGUAACACGUGAGUAACCUGCCCUUGACUUUGGGAUAACUUCAGGAAACUGGGGCUAAUACCGGAUAUGUGCUCCUGCUGCAUGGUGGGGGUUGGAAAGUUUCGGCGGUUGGGGAUGGACUCGCGGCUUAUCAGCUUGUUGGUGGGGUAGUGGCUUACCAAGGCCUUGACGGGUAGCCGGCCUGAGAGGGUGACCGGCCACACUGGGACUGAGAUACGGCCCAGACUCCUACGGGAGGCAGCAGUGGGGAAUAUUGCACAAUGGGCGGAAGCCUGAUGCAGCAACGCCGCGUGCGGGAUGACGGCCUUCGGGUUGUAAACCGCUUUCGCCUGUGACGAAGCGUGAGUGACGGUAAUGGGUAAAGAAGCACCGGCUAACUACGUG
rnacentral:rRNA from 1 species